rnacentral:misc_RNA from 1 species
UAUAAAUAUUUUAGUCUAACCCUUGGUAUUGUAGGCUUUGCGUAGGUACUUUCAUUUCAUGACAAUUUGACCAUCGCACGAAUCUAUAAUUUCGGGCUGAGCAGAUAAACUGCCGGAAUCACUUCAGAAUUGGGUCAAAGUUAUAGGCUACCCCACCAUUUUCAUACGCUCCGGACGCGUUCUAUGCGUCAGAAUUAGCAUACAUAAACCCGAAUUCUGAGUUUCUUCAAUUUUAUAAUACUGGGUUUAGAAUAAAAUUCCAUA